AAAGAACGUUGGCGGCGUGGAUUAGGCAUGCAAGUCGAGCGAGAACCCCGCAAGGGGGGACAGCGGCAAACGGGGUAGUAAUGUGUCGGAACGUGCCCUCUGGACGGGGAUAGCGGCGGGAAACUGCCGGUAAUACCCGAUGAACUCGAGAGAGCAAAGGUGUGAUUCCGCCGGAGGAGCGGCCGACAUGGUAUUAGCUAGUUGGCGGGGUAAUGGCCCACCAAGGCUGUGACGCCUAGGGGAUGUGAGAGCAUGAUCCCCACCAUUGGGACUGAGACACUGCCCAGACACCUACGGGUGGCUGCAGUCGAGAAUCUUCGUCAAUGGGCGAAAGCCUGAACGAGCGACGCCGCGUGUGGGAUGAAGGCCUUUGGGUUGUAAACCACUGUCGAGGGGGAUGAAGGCUUGAAGGUACUCCUUCAAGUUUGACAGAGCCCUGGAGGAAGCACGGGCUAAGUUCGUGCCAGCCGCCGCCGUAAGAC
rnacentral:rRNA from 1 species